UACGGAGGGGGCUAGCGUUGUUCGGAAUUACUGGGCGUAAAGCGCGCGUAGGCGGCUUUGUAAGUUAGAGGUGAAAGCCCGGAGCUCAACUCCGGAAUUGCCUUUAAGACUGCAUCGCUAGAAUCAUGGAGAGGUGAGUGGAAUUCCGAGUGUAGAGGUGAAAUUCGUAGAUAUUCGGAAGAACACCAGGUGGCGAAGGCGACUCACUGGACAUGUAUUGACGCUGAGGUGCGAAAGCGUGGGGAGCAA
rnacentral:rRNA from 1 species